CCUGUAUCUUCUAUCAGUUCUUGAUUUUGGGGCUUCUGGGGCUCUCAGGGUCUUUAUGUUUAAGAGCAGCUGAUGCACAGAGGAGGGUCAGUGUCUGAUUCUGAGCUGAGAUGCAUUUAAUAGUGUUCAGAGAAGAAUGAGCAUAGUCCCCUAACCCUUUACCAAGAGGCAAAAGUGCAGUCUGGGUAUUUGGGGUGUAGCCGUGUUCAAACGUGUUACGCAAGCCAGUCUGCUUAGCCUUGUCCUUAUCUAGCUUGUGUGCGGAGUGGGGAAAGGUCUCCUCCCUCCAUGAAAUUCCAUCACAUGUAACAGAAAACAGUCAAGAAGCUGGAAAAAUUCUAACAGUCCUGCUGAAGAGCGAAAAAGGGAGAUGAAAGAAAAUGGAGACCUGAGCAAGAGAGUGAGGAUAAUUUUGAGUGGGACAACUCCCUCUCUGUGUGUUUUUCAAGCAGUGUCACAGAUCAAGAAAUGAGACUUCUUUAUUGUUCUGAGUAUUUUAUUCCAGUUUGUUGAACAUGAACUUCGCAGUGGCUCGAGUCACAUGCUGCACCACAGACUGCUUGUAGUAAAUUCCCCAGCAAAAACAGGAGUGGCCUGAAGUUACAGAGUGGUCUCUCAGAAUGAAACUUCUUCCUGUCUUUUUUUCACCCUUCACAAAGCUACUCUAGUGAUACUUUACAAAGUCAAAAUAGAUUAUUUUUUUCUUUAAUGCUACGAGUUUGACUAAAUUUAUAAGACAAUAAAAGUGAAGUAAGCCUAUCUGUGAAUGAAACCCUGAGAAUAUUAUGUUUUAUCUGUUACCUCUAUGUUAGUAAGUCCAGGCUCAUUCUUCAUUUUGCUUUAUGAAAAUUAAAUAAUGUCACAGUUUUUUCUUUGAGAGGUUGCCAGGCCUCCAUUACAGAGCCUCCAUGGUGUUCUAUUGGAAUUAAUUGUGUUUAGAAGUUAUGAAAAUGAAGUUGUGUAUUCUUAAGCCAGGUGUUUGUGUCAUGUUUGCAGUAAUAUACAGAAAUUAU
rnacentral:lncRNA from 12 species